GCGCCCUUAGCUCAGUUGGAUAGAGCGACUGACUUCGAAUCAGUAGGUCGGGGGUUCGAGCCCCUCAGGGCGCGCCA
rnacentral:tRNA from 1 species